rnacentral:misc_RNA from 1 species
AUGGCAUAUUUGCUUUGAUAAUUAGGCUGAAGCAUUUUUGGUUGUCGAGAUCAUAUCCAGAGUCCUAUCAGGGUUUUAGGUAAGAAAAGGAAUGGCACUGAAUUUUAGGUAAGAAAAGGAAUGGCACUGAAUGCCUACAAGUUAACCAUAUUAGCCAACAGCACCCAGUUAUUGUUUUUGGUAUAGUAAUUGGGGAGCAAAAGCUGUUAGUGAAACGGAGCGUUUGAUAGGGGCGGGAAUUCUUGUCAGUCUGUUAAGACGUUAGCAGGUUGUUUGUGUGUUAUGAUACAUGUCAAAUAAUGAUUGGUUCGAUGUAAAAUCUUUAAAUAGUUAGGCAGAGCUGAUUGUAAUCUCUAUUAAAGAUAUGGAACCUUCUGUAACAUAUGUGACUGUGAUUGAAUAAUAACUGUUCUUCCUUCUCAAG